AGUCUCUGCUGAUGUUUUGCACUGGGCUCAGAAAUCUGUGCUGAAAGACGUGCAGCUCUGCUUCUUUGACAUGGCAGAGUCUGAAGAGACU